GUUUUUUUUUUUAAUUUUUAGUUUCCUUUUUGGAGUUUGAUUUUUGAAGUGGUGGUGAGGGGGUAUUAGUUGAGUCCUUGGUGGGAAUAGAAAUGGGUGGUUAGAUUUUUGUAGUGGAGUUGGUUGGAAAAGAUUUGGAGGUGAUGGUGAGGGAGAGGGAAACUAAAAUGGGGAAUAAAUUAGAUCUUAGAAGUGGGUGUUACUGCAUGGAAGUGAAAGUGUUGAUACCCUGCAGGAGGAUCCAUAUGAUAAAAAGAAGAAAAAAAAGAAAGUGAGUUGAUAAGAGAUAAAAAGUAUGAAUGAGAAAAAGAAAGGCUCAGGAGUUUAAGUACUGAGCUCUGAUACCAUAUUAGAAUAUGGGACCUCAAACCCAAAUAGGAUAUGAGUAAUGUAUAUUUAUAGUAAAGUAAGUGUAACUAUUACAAGAAUACCCACAAAUAAUAAGAUAUUAUAAUAUAUACCGAGAGAGAGAGAGAGAGAGAGAGAGAGAGAGAGAGAGAGAGAGAGAGAGAGAGAGAGGGUGGAUAUAUGUUGGUGGGGAGUAAAAUGUUGCAAGGUGGGUGGUGG
rnacentral:lncRNA from 1 species